rnacentral:misc_RNA from 1 species
AAGUCGUAACAAGGUAACCGUAGGUGAACCUGCGGUUGGAUCAUUACCAAAUAUCCAAUGGGAAAGUGCGGCAGUGUCUAGGGAUCGGUCUUUGGACCCCUACCUAGGCCCUACGCCUUUUUCAUUUCCCACCUCUUGUGCAAUGUAAUGUAUUUGGCGGGCCAUGCUCGGCGGGCUACUAGGACUUGUGCCUAGUAGUCUAAUGAGAUUGCUUAUGAGAGAGACCUCUCUCUCAACCGUCAUGUUAACACACCUAAUAUUAUCUAUAACAACAAUCUGACGUUUAUAUGCUAGAGUGCGCGUUUGCGUACACUGGAACAUAACCGAAAACAACUUUUGACAACGGAUCUCUUGGCUCUC